rnacentral:rRNA from 1 species
GCAGGGUGAAGGUGCAGUAACAUGCACUGGAGGCCCGAACCGUUGAGCGUUGAAAAGCUCUCGGAUGACCUGUGCCUAGGGGUGAAAGGCCAAUCAAACUUGCUGAUAGCUGGUUCUCCUCGAAAUCUAUUUAGGUAGAGCGUUAGAUGAAUACCAUCGGGGGUAGAGCACUGGAUGGGCUAGGGGGUCUCACCGACUUACCAAACCUAACCAAACUCCGAAUACCGAUGAGUAAUAUCUGGCAGACACACUACGGGUGCUAAGGUCCGUAGUGGAAAGGGAAACAGCCCUGACCGCCAGCUAAGGUCCCUAAGUUAUGGCUAAGUGGGAAAGGAUGUGAGAGUGCAUAGACAACCAGGAUGUUGGCUUAGAAGCAGCCAUCAUUUAAAGAAAGCGUAACAGCUCACUGGUCAAGCGCUCUUGCGCCGAAAAUGUACCGGGGCUAAAGCCAUACACCGAAGCUGCGGAUGCACAUUUAUGUGCGUGGUAGCGGAGCGUUCUGUAAGCCUGUGAAGGGUGACCCGCGAGGGCACUUGGAGGUAUCAGAAGUGAGAAUGCUGACAUGAGUAGCGAUAAAGAGGGUGAGAGACCCUCUCGCCGAAAGACCAAGGGUUCCUGCGUAAAGCUAAUCUGCGCAGGGUUAGCCGGCCCCUAAGGCGAGGCCGAAAGGCGUAGCCGAUGGGAACCACGUUAAUAUUCGUGGGCCAAGGGAUGAGUGACGGAUUUCGAAAGUUGUAGCCCCUUAUUGGAUUGGGUCUGCAGCCUGGAAGUUCCUGGAAAUAGCCUCCCAUUAAGACCGUACCCGAAACCGACACAGGUGGUCAGGUAGAGAAUACCAAGGCGCUUGAGAGAACG